rnacentral:rRNA from 1 species
CCUACGGGAGGCAGCAGUGGGGAAUAUUGCACAAUGGGCGCAAGCCUGAUGCAGCCAUGCCGCGUGUAUGAAGAAGGCCUUCGGGUUGUAAAGUACUUUCAGCGGGGAGGAAGGAGUUGUGGUUAAUAACCGCAGCACUUGACGUUACCCGCAGAAGAAGCCCCGGCUAACUCCGUGCCAGCAGCCGCGGUAAUACGUAGGUGGCAAGCGUUGCUCGGAAUUACUGGGCGUAAAGCGCACGCAGGCGGUCUGUUAAGUCUGAUGUGAAAUCCCCGGGCUCAACCGGGGAACGGCAUUGGAGACUGGCAGGCUUGAGUCUCGUAGAGGAGGGUAGAAUUCCAGGUGUAGCGGUGAAAUGCGUAGAGAUCUGGAGGAAUACCGGGGGCGAAGGCGGCCCCCUGGACGAAGACUGACGCUCAGGUGCGAAAGCGUGGGGAGCAAACAGGAUUAGAUACCCUAGUAGUC